rnacentral:lncRNA from 1 species
AGGAAAUUACUGUCUUAGAUCUGUACCUCAAUCUUAAAAAGCACAGAUGCAACCUAAGGUCCUCAUUUUUUCUGGGCUACUCUAUCCCAGGAGCCUCUGAGGAAGAGUCUAACGGUGAGGUUUUAGCAUCCCACAGAACAGAGUAACUUAAUAGUAUAACCUUCUUGGAUCAGAUCUAGAGGCAGGCUGGGGCGGAGGUGACCCCUGAGGAGCCGUGAUGGUGAACUGACGUAAAGCAGACACUGGCUGGAUACAGCAGCUGCAGAGGCCUGACUCUGAGCUCAGGAACAACUGACAUGCCGCGCUGCUUGCGUGGCCCUGGUUGUCGGAGAGAAAUUGGAGGUCCUGGUAAGUAGAAGAAAAUACGAAGUUGCUGUUUCUACUGGGAUAAGGUUUCAGUACAGUCAGCUACCAGAGCCUCCACUUUAUCAUCUCUACAUUAAAUGAGAAGGGAAGAGGAUGUGAAAGGACUAAAAUAGGCAAGGACACCAGUAGAGCGCACCGUUGGGCAUUGGGUAGACUCCCCUUGGCCCUGGGAACCCCCUGUUGCUUCCUCCUCCUGCUCUGUCUUGGGAAAGCAGGCUUUUUGCUCUCUGUCUCUCCGAAACCCCGUCAGUAGCCUUUUUGGAUGGCGGUCACGUCACUGCCUCAUUAUCCCAGAUUAAAUUUCUACUGUGUUGGGAUAUCUUAGCUUUUUACAAAGCAAAAACUACGACAUGCUGCCUGUGCCAGAACUAUUAAUUCUACAUGGAUGCAGUGAAAGUCCUUCUUCCACGUGAAGGCUUUAUCUUUGCUGUUGGUUUACUCCUGUUUCCUUUUUCCCCUGCAGCCUUCUCUGAUUCAGUUCUGGAAUUCUAGAUGGUUAUUGCCAAGCAGAGAACCCAUAAGCUAUGUGAGAUUUAUACUAAAUAGGUAUAUCACAUACAGUUCCUGAAGAAAAAAUAAGGAAAGGCCAUAUUUUCAAAUAUAUGACAGUGUGAUCUCAUACACUGCAGUCAGAUUACUCCAAUUUACAGACACUGAAGGCUUAGACUAGCUUACAAAUAAUGAGAAAAGCAGAUAAACUAAUAACGGUUUGAUUUAAAGAGUGUUUUAAGGCCCAAGGAUUGAGUGAGUUCAAAUACUAGUAUAAGGCUUAACUGAGAAAGAGACCUAUAUGGUUGAUGACAUUAGUUUAUAUUUGACAUUAUGAAUUAAUAUGAAUUACAUUAAUACAUAUCACAAUAUGACAGCACAUGCCUUCAAGUUAAUGUAUGAUUUGGCACGAAAGUACAAUUUCAUAGCUACUCAUAUAUAUUAAAACCAGGUGAAACCUCUGACAUAUGCAGCUGUAUUCCUUUUUUUUGUUAAGUUUAUACUUCUUAAUGAGAUUACUUUUCCUGGUUUAUGAAAUCUAUUGCCAUAACAUGGUCAUUUAAUUCUUGUCCUGUAAUUGUAAUGGAUCGUUAUUGCUGCUGAUUUACAAUAUAUUAUCCUUUUACUAGCAGAUUUAAUCAUAGGAGCUCUAUUUCCCUCUAAGCUUUAUUAGAAUAUUGGAGACAAAACUCUGCCACAUAUAUUGUUCAGCAGAUAACUGAGUAUUUUCCAGUAAAGAAAAAAGUUCCUGAAAAUCAACCAAA